rnacentral:rRNA from 1 species
GACGAACCGUGCGAACGUUGUUCGGAUUCACUGGGCUUAAAGGGCGCGUAGGCGGUCGGCCAAGUCUGAGGUGAAAUCUUUCGGCUCAACCGGAAAAGUGCCCCCGAUACUGGCCGUCUAGAGGGAGGUAGGGGCAUGUGGAACUUCCGGUGGAGCGGUGAAAUGCGUAGAUAUCGGAAGGAACGCCGGUGGCGAAAGCGACGUGCUGGACCUCAUCUGACGCUGAGGCGCGAAAGCCAGGGGAGCAAACGGG